rnacentral:tRNA from 6 species
UCCUGAGUAGCUCAGUUGGUUAGAGCAUCUGACUGUUAAUCAGAGGGUCGUAGGUUCAAGUCCUACCUCAGGAG